rnacentral:lncRNA from 1 species
UGGUGAGAUGUGUUACUUCUUGAGUUAUUUUGCUGAGUUACUAAGCCCAUUUUGUCUCUCUACUGAUACUUUUACCAAUAUGCAGAAGUUGCACCUGUAUAUUAUUUUCCAGGUCCAAUGCCUGAUUCAUUUAGAAUGCCUAUGUUUUCUCCUGUGCCACCUUUCUUCUUUCAUGUUCCAGAUCCCCAGAUGCACACCAAAAUAGUCUGCCCGAUUCAUUUAGAAUGCCUAUGUUUUCUCCUGUGCCACCUUUCUUCUUUCAUGUUCCAGAUCCCCAGAUGCACACCAAAAUAGUGAACCAGAUAGAUUAUUAUUUCAG